UGAGGAAUAUUGGUCAAUGGGCGCAAGCCUGAACCAGCAAUGCCGCGUGUAGGACGAAGGGGCUUUGCCCUGUAAACUACUGUCAGAUGGGUUGAAAAGGGAGCUAGGCUUCUGGAGACGGUACCAUCAGAGGAAGGGACGGCUAACUACGUGCCAGCAGCCGCGGUAAUACGUAGGUCCCGAGCGUUGUCCGGAUUUACUGGGUAUAAAGGGUGCGUAGGCGGUUUUGUGCGUCAGAGGUGAAAGGUCAGUGCUUAACAUUGAUACUGCCUUUGAAACGGCGAAACUUGAGUAUGAGAGAGGUUUGUAGAAUUCCUGGUGUAGCGGUGAAAUGCGUAGAUAUCAGGAGGAAUACCGGUGGCGAAGGCGGCAAACUGGCUCAUAACUGACGCUGAGGCAC
rnacentral:rRNA from 1 species